AUGAUUAUCCUGCCUAUGAUCUUAGAUUUGGUUUGUAAAUCUGAUGUGUUUCUUCAGCUAUGUAAUGAUCCACACACUGUUGUUUCUUUCAGAUGUACACGUUCACGAGAGAGAUCUAUUUUACUCAUGCUAGAUGUAUGGCGAAUUCAAAAGAAGGGGAUGUUUACCUGUGAAUCCUUUGCUUCUUCAGCCAUGUUCUUCUUCAAGCUUGUGUCCCAGAACAUGGAGGAAACGUCAUCACUUCGUUGCUUUUCUGUCCGGGUUAGAGAAGGAGGGGGCGGACCCGUUAAGUUUCUGUUUGAUAUAUGUGGUUUGUUUAAACGAGUGAGACAGGAAAAGGUACAUACAGGGGACAAGGUACAGAAGGCAGUUGUGGCAUUACUAGUUAGCUGA
rnacentral:rRNA from 1 species